GCUUAACACAUGCAAGUCGAGGGGCAGCAUGGUCUUAGCUUGCUAAGGCCGAUGGCGACCGGCGCACGGGUGAGUAACGCGUAUCCAACCUGCCUUACACUCUGGGACAGCCUUCUGAAAGGGAGAUUAAUACAAGAUGUUAUCAUGAGUAAGCAUUUUCGCAUGAUUAAAGGUUUACCGGUGUAAGAUGGGGAUGCGUUCCAUUAGAUAGUAGGCGGGGUAACGGCCCACCUAGUCUUCGAUGGAUAGGGGUUCUGAGAGGAAGGUCCCCCACAUUGGAACUGAGACACGGUCCAAACUCCUACGGGAGGCAGCAGUGAGGAAUACUGGUCAAUGGACGAGAGUCUGAACCAGCCAAGUAGCGUGAAGGAUGAAGGUUCUAUGGAUUGUAAACUUCUUUUAUACGGGAAUAAACGAAUCCACGCGUGGAUUUUUGCAUGUACCGUAUGAAUAAGGAUCGGCUAACUCCGUGCCAGCAGCCGCGGUAAUACGGAGGAUCCGAGCGUUAUCCGGAUUUAUUGGGUUUAAAGGGAGCGUAGAUGGGUUGUUAAGUCAGUUGUGAAAGUUUGCGGCUCAACCGUAAAAUUGCAAUUGAUACUGGCAGUCUUGAGUACAGUUGAGGUAGGCAGAAUUCGUGGUGUAGCGGUGAAAUGCUUAGAUAUCACGAAGAACUCCGAUUGCGAAGGCAGCUUACUAACCUGUAACUGACAUUGAUGCUCGAAAGUGUGGGUAUCAAACAGGAUUAGAUACCCUGGUAGUCCACACGGUAAACGAUGAAUACUCGCUGUAGGCGAUAUACAGUCUGCGGCCAAGCGAAAGCAUUAAGUAUUCCACCUGGGGAGUACGCCGGCAACGGUGAAACUCAAAGGAAUUGACGGGGGCCCGCACAAGCGGAGGAACAUGUGGUUUAAUUCGAUGAUACGCGAGGAACCUUACCCGGGCUUAAAUUGCAACCGAAUAUGGCGGAAACGCUAUAGCUAGCAAUAGCGGUUGUGAAGGUGCUGCAUGGUUGUCGUCAGCUCGUGCCGUGAGGUGUCGGCUUAAGUGCCAUAACGAGCGCAACCCUUGCCGAUAGUUACUAACAGGUCAUGCUGAGGACUCUGUCGGGACUGCCAUCGUAAGAUGUGAGGAAGGUGGGGAUGACGUCAAAUCAGCACGGCCCUUACGUCCGGGGCUACACACGUGUUACAAUGGGGGGUACAGAGGGCUGCUACCACGCAAGUGGAUGCCAAUCCCAAAAACCUCUCUCAGUUCGGAUUGAAGUCUGCAACCCGACUUCAUGAAGCUGGAUUCGCUAGUAAUCGCGCAUCAGCCACGGCGCGGUGAAUACGUUCCCGGGCCUUGUACACACCGCCCGUCAAGCCAUGGGAGCCGGGGGUACCUGAAGUGCGUAACCGCAAGGAGCGCCCUAGGGUAAAACUGGUGACUGGGGU
rnacentral:rRNA from 1 species